rnacentral:rRNA from 1 species
UACGUAGGGUGCAGGCGUUAAUCGGAAGUACUGGGCGGAAAGCGUGCGCAGGCGGUCUUUUAAGUCAGAUGUGAAAUCCCCGGGCUUAACCUGGGAACUGCGUUUGAAACUGGAAGGCUAGAGUGUGGCAGAGGGGGGUGGAAUUCCACGUGUAGCAGUGAAAUGCGUAGAGAUGUGGAGGACCACCGAUGGCGAAGGCAGCCCCCUGGGCUAACACUGACGCUCAUGCACGAAAGCGUGGGGAGCAAACAGG